rnacentral:tRNA from 1 species
AUUUUUAUAGUGUAAUGAACACUUAACAUUUUCAUUGUUAUAAUGCCCUUAGCUAAAAAUA